AACUCUUGCCCUCCCCUCUACCCCCUGUAUUACAGGUGAUGGAAACCAGACCUUUGUGCAUGCUAGGCAAGUACUCUACCACUGAGCGCACCCAUCCUCGUCCUGGAGGAGAAGGUGUCCUUGGAGUUGUUGUGGCCAAGUGGAAGACAGCCUGCCUGAGACUGAAGAGGAAAGAGCAGAGCCAAGAGGUGGAGAGGGAGCAAGUCUGAAGAAGUAAGUCCCCAACUUAUGAAUUAGUUCCAUUCUGGGAGAAUAUUCAUAGUUUGAAUUCAUUU
rnacentral:lncRNA from 1 species